UAGGGAAUCUUCGGCAAUGGACGAAAGUCUGACCGAGCAACGCCGCGUGAGUGAAGAAGGUUUUCGGAUCGUAAAACUCUGUUGUUAGAGAAGAACAAGGACGUUAGUAACUGAACGUCCCCUGACGGUAUCUAACCAGAAAGCCACGGCUAACUACGUGCCAGCAGCCGCGGUAAUACGUAGGUGGCAAGCGUUGUCCGGAUUUAUUGGGCGUAAAGCGAGCGCAGGCGGUUUCGUAAGUCUGAUGUGAAAGCCCCCGGCUCAACCGGGGAGGGUCAAUGGAAACGGGGAGAAUUGAGGGCAGAAGAGGAGAGUGGAAGUGCAUGGGGAGCGGUGAAAUGCGGAGAUAGAUGGAGGAACACCAGGGGCGAAGGCGGCUAGCUGGUCUGUAACUGAGGGGGAGGAUAGAAAGCGUGGGGAGCAAACAGG
rnacentral:rRNA from 1 species